rnacentral:lncRNA from 1 species
AAAUGAGAGGAGAGAGGAGGAGCGUGUGUUUCUAUCGGUUCGCUUUGGUUCGCAAUUCUCUCUCUCUCAAAGACAAGGAAAUCAACGGUGGCUUCUGAGCGAGCCUGGAGCUCCGGAGCAAAUCGUCUCCCACCACCACAAAGAUCCAGAAACGCGAUCCCCUUUCUCCUCCAAACCUCGCCGUCGUUCGCGAUUCUCCUGGAUUCAGAAACAAACACGGAGAGCAUACACAGGUCCGGUGAUCGGUUCGAUCCUGAUAGACAAUGUUGAAGAUUAUGUGUUUGUGAUGGCGUCGCAUCAGAUUAGAAUCCAUCGUGCCAAGAAAAGUGAUUUCUAUUGAGAGUGAGGAGUCGUCCGAUCAUUGAAGAUAGUAAUCUGAGCGAGCCUGAAGACGAGGUACGUUUUUGAGUAUCUGUGUAUUUUUUGCAUUGAUUGAAUCAUAGUUUUGGUAGAUUAAUCUAAUAAUUUUGAUUCAUUCAACUGAAGUAGUGUGUAGUUGUUUGAUUGAACCUUGGUUAAGUUCAAUUGGUUUAGGUCGAUAACUGAGAUGCAAUUAGAUCUUGAGAAUGAUAAUUAUGUGAAAGUCUUAGCAAUGCUGGUGAAGAGUUCGCAUCCUCGUUGAAGCAUAUGUAUAAAGCAAUGUUUGUUAUGGUUGGUUGGUUGACAGAGGAGAGUUCAGUAAUUCAUGUUUGUUUUUAGAGAUCCAUAUUAUAAGAGCUCUCUGCCUCGUUUUGUGCUUGAGUUCAGGUGCUUAACUGAUUCUGAGCAUAGGCUUGUUUUUCCUGUAAAACGAAAUACAUGUGGGAUGAGUUUUUUGCUUCUAUCCUUUUGUUCCUUGGCCAUAGAAAAACAGAAACUUUAUACUUCAGUUGUGGAAAGGCUUAUGCUGUCAUUCCAGGGAAGAUGAAGUUAGUUUUGCAAGAGGUCUUCGAGUUAUAGGGUGCUUAUUAGAGUAUUCAGCUUCAUUAUUUUUGCAGUGACAGUGCUCUCUUCUUUGAUGCUUGGUUUGAUUAUGUUUGAUAGUAAUCAGUGUAAGGUAAGUAAGCAUAGAUAUGCAGAGUAAUGCAUCCUUUUGUUUAUUGAUUUCUCUUAACUUAUACGUGGCAUGUUUUUGUCUAUUAAAGAAUACAAAAGACACAGUUUUUGUAUCAUAAGCUGCUAUUUGGGUUUGAUGCAGGGUGGAUGUUGUAGCUUGCCGCAAUGAGAGGAAUUAGCUACACUCCGUCACCACCAAGGGGUUAUGGGAGGAGGGGUCGAACAAGCCCAAGCCCUAGAGGAGGCCGUUAUGGAGGUCGUAGUGCGGACCUUCCGACCAGCGUGUUGUGAAUGAAGAGGGGAACUUGUGUGUAUUAUUAGGUCGACCAACUGGUCUUUAUAUACAUAUGGUAAUGAUGGUCUAAGUACUGGAUCGACAUGAGAUCGUACUUAUCCUUAACUAGAUAAUGACUAGCAAUACGUAAGAUAAACACCAACUAUAAUGUAGAUAAACACAAGAGUAGAUAGGCGCCAGUAUGAUCCUGCGGAUGGGCUUGGCCCGUCUUGCUACACGGGCUGAUAAAUGGGUCGAUCACUGGUUUAUAACAAUAGCCAUGUUAAAACGGGUUUUUAAUAAACGGACGUAAACGGGUUUCGUGUAAAAUUAUUGUCCGUUAAAAGCCCGUUUAUAUAACGAAGUUAAACGGGCUUGGUCGGAUUUGUCCGCUUAUGUCUAUUUAGCAAACAGGUUUAUACAAAAUUAAACGAGCCGUCCGUUAAGCCCGUUUAACCCAUUUAUAUUUUUUUUCAUAUGUAACUGAAAAACGAUGACGUUUCAUUAGUAACCUGUAAUAAUUUAAUGUCCUAAAAUCCUAAAUCCCUUAUCGUUAGUUCAUUAGAGCAUCUUUAUCGGCGUCUUUAGGCCGUCUCUUAAGCUAAUUGAGCAUUAAAAAUAAAUCAAAAAGGUUAAUAAACAUAAGAGGCGUCUUUAAUUUGGGGACAAGAAGAGACCAUAGUUGAGGCCACGUGUUGGUAAAAUGAGAGGAGAGAGGAGGAGCGUGUGUUUCUUUCGGUUCGCUUUGGUUCGCAAUUCUCUCUCUCUCAAAGACAAGGAAAUCAACGGUGGCUUCUGAGCGAGCCUGGAGCUCCGGAGCAAAUCGUCUCCCACCACCACAAAGAUCCAGAAACGCGAUCCCCUUUCUCCUCCAAACCUCGCCGUCGUUCGCGAUUCUCCUGGAUUCAGAAACAAACACGGAGAGCAUACACAGGUCCGGUGAUCGGUUCGAUCCUGAUAGACAAUGUUGAAGAUUAUGUGUUUGUGAUGGCGUCGCAUCAG